CUUCACAAGGGAGGCUUUAACCUAAGAAUGGUGAGGGCUUUUGAUCACAGGGAUGGGGUGAUGUGAGGGAGAGGGACCAGAAAAUCAGCACUUGCAGGGUUGCAAGGAAAUGCCUGAAGGCACUGCUAUGGGGAGAUUCCCCAAAGCUCCAGAGGAGGUUGUGGUGGGUAACGGGGGGAGGCUGCUUGGAUUUGUGCAGAGGGAGAGCUGGAGAGAGAAAUAGAUGGACAGAGGGAUCAACAGAGGAGAGAACUGUUGGUUGGAUGGAUGGAUGGAUGGAUGAAUGGAUGGAUGGAUGGAUGAAUGGAUGGAUGGAUGGAUGGAUGGAUGGAUGGAUGGAUGGAUGGAUGAAUGGAUGGAUGGAUGGAUGGAUGGAUGGAAAACGGAUUGAAGGAUCAUUGGAUGGACGGAACAAUUGUUGGAUGAAAGGGUGGAUGUAAAUACAGGUGGGUGGAGAGAUCAACGGGAAAAUAUGAUUUCUGCCUGAAAGACCAGUGUGCCCCCAGGCCCCACUCCCUCCAUGGGAACCAGUGGGGGUGGCCCUGCGGGUACAGAACCCACGUCCCAUUGGCUGGAGCCAUUCUCUUGGCUGCUACAGAACGCAGAACCUUUGGAGGAGGCUCAGUUCCAUGGCUCUGGCAUGGGGAGUGCUGGAUCCCUGGAUCCUCUGUCCAUUUGGGAUGGGGUGAUGGGGUCUGUGGUGCAGGAUGGAUCUUGGGUAUGGUGGUCUGUUGCCCCCUUUUAGUGGGAUGUGGGGUGAGAGAAGUCCUUGCCGUAUGGGUCCCCUUCUUACAGGAGGGAUUGGGCUCUAUGGAGUAGAAUGGGUCAGUGAGGUCCGUUGCCCACCUAUCAGGUUUACGGGGUCCAGUGGGGCAGGGAGAGGUCCCAAACCCCUCAGUUGGAUGCCCUGUUUAAUGUGAGAAGGAAGAUAAUGAGGUAAAGCGAGGCAGAGGGAGGGCCCCCUCCUUGCCCCUCCCCUUCAUUGCUGUGAUGUCAGUGGGGUAACAGCAGUUCUCAGGGUAACUGUCCCAACCCCAAACCAUCCUAGACUCCUCUCUGAUCAGCUGUGAAGAUGGUGCCUUGUGGCCUUAUUCCCAUCUGGGAUGGAUCGUUCUACAAUGCUGUGUGUCCCAUUGGGCCAAAAGUACUGGUUUGGUGCUGAAAUCCAACUCCAUUCCUCACCAGCUGUAUUCCCAAGGAAUCCUCCUUCCCCAUCCUCCCCAAGCUCCCAACUUCUAUCUCCAACUGAUGUGCAGAAAUCAAACUCUAUAACCACAGAGUGGUUAUAAAGCAGGAUAUUUUACAGGUUCUGACUCAGGUUCAGAGAUUUUAAGUUUACCGUCUGGAAUUAAAGCAUUCUUCAACUGCCUGUUCUGCCACCUGAUCCGCCAUCUUAUCUCCAGUUUCCUGUACAGUGCUACCUUUCUGAUGUCCUUUACAGAGUAUAAUAGCCAUGCUCUUUGAAUCACAGGAGCUAAAAUAGUCUGAAAAAGAAGAGUCCAAAUCUUUGCCUUUGGAAGGCCCAGCUCGUUACCCAACUCCUGAGCAAAGAAAAAGAAGAAUAAAGGCUUCAGUCACCACACAUACUCACACUGGGAGACUUCAGCCUCAGCGUGACUGUCAGCCCUGUGGACACGCUGGCUGUCACUGUGCCCACCGUCUGCCACAACAUCACCUGCAGCCUCUGUGGAACUUCAGUGGCCGUCUCCACACCGACCGCCUCAUCCAGAGCAGCACUGCCACGGGUCACUGCCUCAGUCCUGGUCCCAGGUGUCCCCUGUGCCGGCAAUCCCCCAGCAGUGAGUGAGUGGGCAGUGGACACAACCUGGGCUUCUCGCCGGGCCCUGCACGGGUGGUGGCAGUGUUCCAGGGGCACCGCCUCCGGCCCCACCCAUCCCUCUCCAAAAACGAGCUGAUGCUGUUCUCCUGGUUUGAGCGGCUGUGUACGGACUGUGCGACUGCCCGAGGGGAACCUUCCAACCUACUGCCUGAACUGAACUGAACUGAACUGAACUUCGGUGUCACGAGCGCGGCUGCAGAUAUGCAGUAACCGUACUGAAACUGUAACUAUCUGAAGACCCACAUGCAGAACAAACCGUACAGUGCACAGAAAUCACACUGCAAUGAUGAAGGAACUCGGCAACGGGGCCGCUGCUGUGUUUUGGUAACAGUGAGGAGGCACCAGCAACGAGCUGUGGAUUGGCUGCCCCCCCUGCGCUGCACUGUGCAUUCACGCGCUGGCCACGCGUAGAGUGCGUGAUCCGGCUCAGGGCAUACAGACAUGUCAGGAGGGCAGCAGGGUGAGGUAACUCAGGCAGAGGACACCGCUGCCUCCAUGGGGAUGCCCGCAAGGCCCUGAGCCAACCAGUCCCUCCCCUUACAGCCAAUCCGAGCUGUGCUGGCUGAUGGUCCUUUUGGGACCUCUUGGCGGAUCAGUAGCUGUGCACUGCAGUGCUUAAACGCUCGCUUUGGCCGACUGUGUGUGUGAACGUGUGUUCUGUGCAGUGCCUCAUCCCUGCAUCCCAACACCCCGACGCAGCAGUGCUCCGUGCCGUCCUGCAGGCUGCUGUGCAGCGCGCAGUGCUGCAGAGCUGUACUUCCCGGCCCUGUGCUCUCCAGCAGUCUCGUGUGAGUUCUGCCUCCCCCAGAAAACUCUUCUGGGGCAGUGCUGGUGCACCCCUGUGCACGCACACGCGUGUGAAAAAACAAGCACUGACAUGCAGACACCGAUUUGCACACACCCCUGUACGUGCACACGCAUGUGUAUCCACACACCUGCACACACCCACAGGCAAACACGUGCACACAUGUGCAAGAACACCUUUGCUGACAUCCAUGAGCACACAUACAUCUACAUGCAUGUACACACGUGCAAAAUGACACAUCCAUGUUCAAGCACCUCCUGGCACACACACAGCGAUCUGUACGCACACAUUUCAAGCCUACCUUUGCACACACAUGCACAUCCUUUGCACUCCUGUGUGCAAACAGCCACGUGCGUGCAUGAACACGUGCAGUUCAACCCUUUGGCAUAUUUGUGGCCAAGCUGUGCGACCCUGCCCUUGCACAAACCCAUGUGCAGACAUUGCAACCGCAUCCCUUUGCACAUAGCUGUGCAAGCCCAUAUUUGCACACACAUAUGAACACACACCCACAUGGGCCACCUUUGCACGCUCACUUGCAAACAGCACCUUGCAUCCCUCCAUUUGCAUGCAGACGUGCAAGCACAGCCUUGCACACGCAUAUGAAUGUGCAUGUGUGCAGAACCAUACACACAAGUGCAAAGGUGUACUCCCACACGUACCUGUGCAGUCACACACAUGCAAGCACAUCCUUGCACACCCGUGUGCACACACCACCCGUACGCAUGCAAAUGUAUGCAAAACCAUGCAGCCAUGUGCAAAGACCCCAAUGCUCCUA
rnacentral:lncRNA from 1 species